AUUGAACGCUGGCGGCGUGCCUAACACAUGCAAGUCGAGCGGUAACAGGUGUAGCAAUACAUGCUGACGAGCGGCGGACGGGUGAGUAACGCUUGGGAAUCUGCCUGUUAGUGGGGGACAACCCGGGGAAACUCGGGCUAAUACCGCAUACGCACUACGGUGGAAAGCCGGGGACCGCAAGGCCUGGCGCUAACAGAUGAGCCCAAGUCGGAUUAGCUAGUUGGUAGGGAACGGCCUACCAAGGCGACGAUCCGUAACUGGUCUGAGAGGACGACCAGUCACACCGGAACUGAGACACGGUCCGGACUCCUACGGGAGGCAGCAGUGGGGAAUAUUGGACAAUGGGCGAAAGCCUGAUCCAGCGACGCCGCGUGGGUGAAGAAGGCCUGCGGGUUGUAAAGCCCUUUCGGGUAGGGGAAGAAAAGCCUCGAGUUAAUACCUCGGGGUCUUGACGUAACCCAUAGAAGAAGCACCGGCUAACUCUGUGCCAGCA
rnacentral:rRNA from 1 species